rnacentral:rRNA from 1 species
ACACAUGCAAGUCGAGCGGUAACAGAAAGUAGCUUGCUACUUUGCUGACGAGCGGCGGACGGGUGAGUAAUGCUUGGGAACAUGCCUUGAGGUGGGGGACAACAGUUGGAAACGACUGCUAAUACCGCAUAAUGUCUACGGACCAAAGGGGGCUUCGGCUCUCGCCUUUAGAUUGGCCCAAGUGGGAUUAGCUAGUUGGUGAGGUAAUGGCUCACCAAGGCAACGAUCCCUAGCUGGUUUGAGAGGAUGAUCAGCCACACUGGAACUGAGACACGGUCCAGACUCCUACGGGAGGCAGCAGUGGGGAAUAUUGCACAAUGGGCGAAAGCCUGAUGCAGCCAUGCCGCGUGUGUGAAGAAGGCCUUCGGGUUGUAAAGCACUUUCAGUCAGGAGGAAAGGGUGUGAGUUAAUACCUCACAUCUGUGACGUUACUGACAGAAGAAGCACCGGCUAACUCCGUGCCAGCAGCCGCGGUAAUACGGAGGGUGCGAGCGUUAAUCGGAAUUACUGGGCGUAAAGCGUACGCAGGCGGUUUGUUAAGCGAGAUGUGAAAGCCCCGGGCUCAACCUGGGAACUGCAUUUCGAACUGGCAAACUAGAGUGUGAUAGAGGGUGGUAGAAUUUCAGGUGUAGCGGUGAAAUGCGUAGAGA